UACGUAGGGCGCAAGCGUUUGUCCGGAAUUAUUGGGCGUAAAGAGCUCGUAGGCGGCCUGUUACGUCUGCUGUGAAAUCCCGGGGCUUAACCCCGGGCGUGCAGUGGAUACGGGCAGGCUGGAGGCAGGCAGGGGAGAACGGAAUUCCCGGUGUAGCGGUGAAAUGCGCAGAUAUCGGGAGGAACACCGGUGGCGAAGGCGGUUCUCUGGGCCUGUACUGACGCUGAGGAGCGAAAGCAUGGGGAGCGAACAGG
rnacentral:rRNA from 1 species